UUUCAUCCACACACACCUUUGUGCACCAUGGGAGGCGUCAGUGUCUCCCCUCUUUUAAUACAAACACAAGUUAUAUGCAUGUCUUAUAUGUCAACUCUACGGCAGUUAUACUAUAACAACUUUCAACAACGGAUCUCUUGGCUUUCGCAUCGAUGAAGAACGCAGCGAACGUGCGAAACGUAAUGUGAAUUGCAGAAUUCAGUGAAUCAUCGAAUCUUUGAACGCAUCUUGCGCUCCUUGGUAUUCCGAGGAGCAUGCCUGUUUGAGUGUCGUGAAUACUCUCAAUUACAAACUUUUUUGUUUGAAAUUGGAUUUGGACGUUGUUGUGGGCUUACACGACUCGUCCUAAAUACAUUAGCGAUCUGCCUUGAUCACACACAAUGUGAUAAAUAUUGAGCAUUGUUAUUAAUCAAGUCAUGACUGCUUCUAAUCGUCGGAAACGACAAAGCGUAUAGUCAUAUAUAUGCAUGUCAUUUGACCUCAAAUCAGGUAGGACUACCCGCUGAACUUAAGCAUAUCAAUA
rnacentral:rRNA from 1 species